rnacentral:rRNA from 1 species
ACAUGCAGUCGAACGCCCCGCAAGGGGAGUGGCAGACGGGUGAGUAACGCGUGGGAACAUACCCUUUCCUGCGGAAUAGCUCCGGGAAACUGGAAUUAAUACCGCAUACGCCCUACGGGGGAAAGAUUUAUCGGGGAAGGAUUGGCCCGCGUUGGAUUAGCUAGUUGGUGGGGUAAAGGCCUACCAAGGCGACGAUCCAUAGCUGGUCUGAGAGGAUGAUCAGCCACAUUGGGACUGAGACACGGCCCAAACUCCUACGGGAGGCAGCAGUGGGGAAUAUUGGACAAUGGGCGCAAGCCUGAUCCAGCCAUGCCGCGUGAGUGAUGAAGGCCUUAGGGUUGUAAAGCUCUUUCACCGGAGAAGAUAAUGACGGUAUCCGGAGAAGAAGCCCCGGCUAACUUCGUGCCAGCAGCCGCGGUAAUACGAAGGGGGCUAGCGUUGUUCGGAAUUACUGGCCGUAAAGCGCACGUAGGCGGAUAUUUAAGUCAGGGGUGAAAUCCCAGAGCUCAACUCUGGAACUGCCUUUGAUACUGGGUAUCUUGAGUAUGGAAGAGGUAAGUGGAAUUCCGAGUGUAGAGGUGAAAUUCGUAGAUAUUCGGAGGAACACCAGUGGCGAAGGCGGCUUACUGGUCCAUUACUGACGCUGAGGUGCGAAAGCGUGGGGAGCAAACAGGAUUAGAUACCCUGCUAGUCCACGCCGUAACGAUGAAUGUUAGUCGUCGGGCAGUAUACUGUUCGGUGGCGCACUAACGC